GACGAACGCUGGCGGCGUGCUUAACACAUGCAAGUCGAACGGAAAGGCCCUGCUUUUGUGGGGUGCUCGAGUGGCGAACGGGUGAGUAACACGUGAGUAACCUGCCCUUGACUUUGGGAUAACUUCAGGAAACUGGGGCUAAUACCGGAUAGGAGCUCCUGCUGCAUGGUGGGGGUUGGAAAGUUUCGGCGGUUGGGGAUGGACUCGCGGCUUAUCAGCUUGUUGGUGGGGUAGUGGCUUACCAAGGCUUUGACGGGUAGCCGGCCUGAGAGGGUGACCGGCCACAUUGGGACUGAGGUACGGCCCAGACUACUACGGGAGGCAGCAGUGGGGAAUAUUGCACAAUGGGCGGAAGCCUGAUGCAGCAACGCCGCGUGCGGGAUGACGGCCUUCGGGUUGUAAACCGCUUUCGCCUGUGACGAAGCGUGAGUGACGGUAAUGGGUAAAGAAGCACCGGCUAACUACGU
rnacentral:rRNA from 1 species